rnacentral:rRNA from 1 species
CAUCCAGUGUUAGCGUCGCUCCCGACUCGAAAGCCUCGUUCGGAAAGUCGUGGUACACAGAGGGCGACUUCUGUCGCCGCACCAGACUUUCUCUGUCCCGAAAGGAAAAUUUUCGGCGGAGCAGGGCGAGAUGUUUGUUCUUCGGACAGCGUCCGCUCGGCUCUCUGAUCGAUUAGCCUUUCGCCCCGUGGUUCGCUUGCGAACAGGGACGGAGAUGACUUGCGUGCUUUGCCACGGCGAUCCGAUCGCAGCGUCUUUCAACUGCGUUUCGCUAGUCCGAUUCGCUAGUCACGACCUCAGUUCAGGUGAGACUACCCCCUGAAU